UGGGUUGACCAGGCGGCCGCGCGUCACGCAAGUGGCUCGAGGAACGUCCGGGCUCCGCAGAGCAGGGUGGUGGGUAACGCCCACUCGGGGUAACCCGCAGGACAGUGCCGCAGAGAACAGACCGCCUGCCUGCCGCCGGUGUUUACGCAGGCUGCAGGGCAGGUAAGGGUGAAACGGUGGUGUAAGAGACCACCAGCUUCCCGGGUGACCGGGAAGGCUAGGUAAACCCCACCCGGAGCAAGGCCAGACAGGG
rnacentral:RNase_P_RNA from 1 species